GUGACCGAUCCCGAAGUGGUCGAGGGGCCUGGCUGUGAACCAGGCGGCAGGCGGUUCGAGUCCGCUCGGUCACCC
rnacentral:tRNA from 1 species